rnacentral:rRNA from 1 species
GCCAGCGGCUAUCUCUUUUUCAAUUCUCACAUGGUUGCCCACUGAAGCUAAGCAAGGUUGCACUCGGUCAGUACCUAAAUGGGAGACCACAUGGGAAAGCUAGGUUGCUGCUGGAA